rnacentral:rRNA from 1 species
CCUACGGGGGGCUGCAGUAGGGAAUUUUCGGCAAUGGGCGAAAGCCUGACCGAGCAAUGCCGCGUGAACGAAGAAGGUCUUCGGACUGUAAAGUUCUGUUAUAGAGGAAGAAAGAUAUAUAGAGGAAAUGCUAUAUAUUUGACGGUACUUUAUGAGGAAGCCCCGGCUAACUAUGUGCCAGCAGCCGCGGUAAUACAUAGGGGGCAAGCGUUAUCCGGAAUUAUUGGGCGUAAAGGGUGCGUAGGCGGCUGAUUAAGUCUGGUGUGAAAUUUCACGGCUUAACCGUGAAGGGUCAUUGGAAACUGAUUGGCUUGAAUACAGAAGAGGUAAGUGGAAUUCCAUGUGUAGCGGUAAAAUGCUUAGAUAUAUGGAGGAACACCAGUGGCGAAGGCGGCUUACUGGUCUGUCAUUGACGCUGAUGCACGAAAGCGUGGGUAGCAAACAGGAUUAGAUACCCCAGUAGUC